GGGUUGUGAGGUUAAGCGACUAAGCGUACACGGUGGAUGCCCUGGCAGUCAGAGGCGAUGAAGGACGUGCUAAUCUGCGAUAAGCGCCGGUAAGGUGAUAUGAACCGUUAUAACCGGCGAUUUCCGAAUGGGGAAACCCAGUGUGAUUCGUCACACUAUCAUUAACUGAAUCCAUAGGUUAAUGAGGCGAACCGGGGGAACUGAAACAUCUAAGUACCCCGAGGAAAAGAAAUCAACCGAGAUUCCCCCAGUAGCGGCGAGCGAACGGGGAGGAGCCCAGAGCCUGAAUCAGCAUGUGUGUUAGUGGAAGCGUCUGGAAAGGCGCGCGAUACAGGGUGACAGCCCCGUACACAAAAGCGCAUGUGCUGUGAGCUCGAUGAGUAGGGCGGGACACGUGGUAUCCUGUCUGAAUAUGGGGGGACCAUCCUCCAAGGCUAAAUACUCCUGACUGACCGAUAGUGAACCAGUACCGUGAGGGAAAGGCGAAAAGAACCCCGGCGAGGGGAGUGAAAAAGAACCUGAAACCGUGUACGUACAAGCAGUGGGAGCACAGGUUUACCUGUGUGACUGCGUACCUUUUGUAUAAUGGGUCAGCGACUUAUAUUCUGUAGCAAGGUUAACCGUAUAGGGGAGCCGGAGGGAAACCGAGUCUUAACCGGGCGUUAAGUUGCAGGGUAUAGACCCGAAACCCGGUGAUCUAGCCAUGGGCAGGUUGAAGGUUGGGUAACACUAACUGGAGGACCGAACCGACUAAUGUUGAAAAAUUAGCGGAUGACCUGUGGCUGGGGGUGAAAGGCCAAUCAAACCGGGAGAUAGCUGGUUCUCCCCGAAAGCUAUUUAGGUAGCGCCUCGUGAAUUCAUCUCCGGGGGUAGAGCACUGUUUCGGCUAGGGGGCCAUCCCGGCUUACCAACCCGAUGCAAACUGCGAAUACCGGAGAAUGUUAUCACGGGAGACACACGGCGGGUGCUAACGUCCGUCGUGAAGAGGGAAACAACCCAGACCGCCAGCUAAGGUCCCAAAGUCAUGGUUAAGUGGGAAACGAUGUGGGAAGGCCCAGACAGCCAGGAUGUUGGCUUAGAAGCAGCCAUCAUUUAAAGAAAGCGUAAUAGCUCACUGGUCGAGUCGGCCUGCGCGGAAGAUGUAACGGGGCUAAACCAUGCACCGAAGCUGCGGCAGCGAACGUAUCACCCAAGACAACUUUACGGAGUUGACGAUUGACGGAGCGAAGCGACGUCAAAGCGUUCAUUAAAGUCGAGUUGGCUUAGGGAUACGUUCGUUGGGUAGGGGAGCGUUCUGUAAGCCUGUGAAGGUGGCCUGUGAGGGUUGCUGGAGGUAUCAGAAGUGCGAAUGCUGACAUAAGUAACGAUAAAGCGGGUGAAAAGCCCGCUCGCCGGAAGACCAAGGGUUCCUGUCCAACGUUAAUCGGGGCAGGGUGAGUCGACCCCUAAGGCGAGGCCGAAAGGCGUAGUCGAUGGGAAACGGGUUAAUAUUCCCGUACUUGGUGUUACUGCGAAGGGGGGACGGAGAAGGCUAUGUUGGCCGGGCGACGGUUGUCCCGGUUUAAGCGUGUAGGUGUGUGUUCCAGGUAAAUCCGGUUCACUUUAACACUGAGGCGUGACGACGAGGCACUACGGUGCUGAAGCAACAAAUGCCCUGCUUCCAGGAAAAGCCUCUAAGCAUCAGGUAACAUCAAAUCGUACCCCAAACCGACACAGGUGGUCAGGUAGAGAAUACCAAGGCGCUUGAGAGAACUCGGGUGAAGGAACUAGGCAAAAUGGUGCCGUAACUUCGGGAGAAGGCACGCUGACAUGUAGGUGAAGUGAUUUACUCAUGGAGCUGAAGUCAGUCGAAGAUACCAGCUGGCUGCAACUGUUUAUUAAAAACACAGCACUGUGCAAACACGAAAGUGGACGUAUACGGUGUGACGCCUGCCCGGUGCCGGAAGGUUAAUUGAUGGGGUCAGCGCAAGCGAAGCUCCUGAUCGAAGCCCCGGUAAACGGCGGCCGUAACUAUAACGGUCCUAAGGUAGCGAAAUUCCUUGUCGGGUAAGUUCCGACCUGCACGAAUGGCGUAAUGAUGGCCAGGCUGUCUCCACCCGAGACUCAGUGAAAUUGAACUCGCUGUGAAGAUGCAGUGUACCCGCGGCAAGACGGAAAGACCCCGUGAACCUUUACUAUAGCUUGACACUGAACAUUGAGCCUUGAUGUGUAGGAUAGGUGGGAGGCUUUGAAGUGUGGACGCCAGUCUGCAUGGAGCCGACCUUGAAAUACCACCCUUUAAUGUUUGAUGUUCUAACGUGGACCCGUAAUCCGGGUUGCGGACAGUGUCUGGUGGGUAGUUUGACUGGGGCGGUCUCCUCCUAAAGAGUAACGGAGGAGCACGAAGGUUGGCUAAUCCUGGUCGGACAUCAGGAGGUUAGUGCAAUGGCAUAAGCCAGCUUGACUGCGAGCGUGACGGCGCGAGCAGGUGCGAAAGCAGGUCAUAGUGAUCCGGUGGUUCUGAAUGGAAGGGCCAUCGCUCAACGGAUAAAAGGUACUCCGGGGAUAACAGGCUGAUACCGCCCAAGAGUUCAUAUCGACGGCGGUGUUUGGCACCUCGAUGUCGGCUCAUCACAUCCUGGGGCUGAAGUAGGUCCCAAGGGUAUGGCUGUUCGCCAUUUAAAGUGGUACGCGAGCUGGGUUUAGAACGUCGUGAGACAGUUCGGUCCCUAUCUGCCGUGGGCGCUGGAGAACUGAGGGGGGCUGCUCCUAGUACGAGAGGACCGGAGUGGACGCAUCACUGGUGUUCGGGUUGUCAUGCCAAUGGCACUGCCCGGUAGCUAAAUGCGGAAGAGAUAAGUGCUGAAAGCAUCUAAGCACGAAACUUGCCCCGAGAUGAGUUCUCCCUGAGACUUAGAGUCUCCUGAAGGAACGUUGAAGACGACGACGUUGAUAGGCCGGGUGUGUAAGCGCAGCGAUGCGUUGAGCUAACCGGUACUAAUGAACCGUGAGGCUUAACCUUACAACGCCGAAG
rnacentral:rRNA from 1 species